AGCAGAGUUGCUGGGUCACAUGGUAACUCUAUGAUCAACUUUUUAAAGAACUGCCAGACUGUUUUCCAAAGUUGCUGUACCAUUAUACAUUCCCACUAGCAGU
rnacentral:pre_miRNA from 1 species